rnacentral:rRNA from 1 species
GAUGAACGCUGGCGGCGUGCCUAAUACAUGCAAGUCGAGCGAAUGGAUUGAGAGCUUGCUCUUAUGAAGUUAGCGGCGGACGGGUGAGUAACACGUGGGUAACCUGCCCAUAAGACUGGGAUAACUCCGGGAAACCGGGGCUAAUACCGGAUAACAUUUUGAACCGCAUGGUUCGAAAUUGAAAGGCGGCUUCUGCUGUCACUUAUGGAUGGACCCGCGUCGCAUUAGCUAGUUGGUGAGGUAACGGCUCACCAAGGCAACGAUGCGUAGCCGACCUGAGAGGGUGAUCGGCCACACUGGGACUGAGACACGGCCCAGACUCCUACGGGAGGCAGCAGUAGGGAAUCUUCCGCAAUGGACGAAAGUCUGACGGAGCAACGCCGCGUGGGUGAUGAAGGCUUUCGGGUCGUAAAACUCUGUUGUUAGGGAAGAACAAGUGCUAGUUGAAUAAGCUGGCACCUUGACGGUACCUAACCAGAAAGCCACGGCUAACUACGUGCCAGCCGCCGCGGUAA